rnacentral:tRNA from 1 species
AGCCUUGGGGUGUUAUCACACCAGAUUGCAAAUCUGAAGAUGCGGAGUAGAAUCCGCCGAGGCUU